rnacentral:rRNA from 1 species
UACGUAGGUGGCGAGCGUUAUCCGGAAUGAUUGGGCGUAAAGGGUGCGUAGACGGUAAUGUAAGUCUGGAGUGAAAGGCGGGGGCCCAACCCCCGGACUGCUCUGGAAACUAUGUUACUAGAGUGCAGGAGAGGUAAGCGGAAUUCCUAGUGUAGCGGUGAAAUGCGUAGAUAUUAGGAGGAACACCAGUGGCGAAGGCGGCUUACUGGACUGUAACUGACGUUGAGGCUCGAAAGCGUGGGGAGCAAACAGG